CCUCUUCUUCUGGUUCGUGUGUAAAACAUACCAAACCAUCCUCCAUGAUGCAGCACCUCCUCCCUGUGUCAACCUGAUGUCAUUGCUUUACAUGACACAUGCGUUUGCAAGUCUCUGCCAGAGGAUGGCGCCAUUUUUCAAAGAAUGCAAGAAGACUUUCUGUACAUGACCUCUAAAAAUGACAUGUGAACCAGCAGAUAAGUCAGCAGGGGCCACCAGGUUUGUUGGGAGAAAGAAGAAACACACUACACACAUCUUGGUGAAGCAAGCCGAUCAUGCAGUCAUCAAGUGGUGGAAAGAAAAGCCUUCAGUUUUCCGAGUGAGAACAGGCUCAGGCCAACCAGCACGGUGUAAAUCACUCUCAGGCAGACCUUUUGGCUCAGGGGUGAACCGUCACUCUUACCUCAUUACCAUGAAAGGUGUGCUUUGCCAGCCGGUCUGUUCAGGUCACAUCUGGCACAUCCCAGAAUAGACGAAGGGGGGAAAGAGCACCACUUUGAACUUCAAAGCGGGCGGUGAAAUUUGUUUGGAGGCAGUCCACUAGACUCUUUAGAUGUUUGACCGGCCAGCAACGGGAAGCCGUGCAGACUGAGAGGUGCCAACCGGGUUCUGGCUCUGGAUGGAGAUGAGCUCUUGCCAAAGCUUCCUGACAUAUUUAAUUCAGCGUUCAUGUGUGACAGAUGUAUAUUUACACUUGGGCUACUGAUGGUCAUAUUGGCAUGGAGGAAUAUGGAAUUUAAAAUGAAAGAUCUCCUGACCUCAGUGACUUCAUGGCCUGUCAUGGAGGUGGCGCUGGCUAAAGUCUACAUUACUCAACCUGACAUUCUUUCCAAGUGCAAAGAAACGCUGCAAUUUCCAGCUUUUUUCUGACCGAAACUUGGAUGUUAUGCCGCUGCACGAUGCCGUUUUAUUUUCUAAACACUGUCACUCUUUGGUAAACUGUAAUUUAUUCCUGCUUUUCUAGAGGCGUCACCAUGUGCUGGUACCCUCUUUAAUCAGCCUGACAGUUCUCAGACUUUUGCCACACAUCAACUGCCACUAUCCCAGCUCAGGGUGACAAGUGAGUCCUGGAGUUCACUGCCACGGUACCUCAAUGUGACCACAUGGGACAAACACACAGCCCUUGUUGAGUCUAUAAAAGGAGGCAGCCAGCUGAAGAGAAAGAACCACAACUCCCUCCUCUUUCCAUUUUCAGUAUAGGGAUGGCCAAAAUAUAGCUCCUCUCAAUUAUGCAGGGAAUGACUUUUGUAGAAACUUCUAAAAGGAGCUAUGGGACCUAUUGGGGCACGCUUAAACGGAUUUAUAGACUGAGUUCUACGACCUAAGGGGUUGUUUUAAGAGGGGAAGAGAAUGUGGAAUAGUGUAACCCUGCCUGUGAACACAUAUAUAUACAUAUACAGUAUAUAUAGCACAUGAACAGAAGCAGGAAGAGCGAACCAGCGUAGUGCAGCACUGGCCACAUCCUUCCUGGAGCUCACUAUAUCUCUGUGUAACAUACUCAGGAACUGAAUUGUGUUUCCUGUAUAGCUCAUGUGGGAGUUUCUGUAGAGCAUUCGUGUUUUGGUUUCUUAUUUUUAAAUUCAACGAGGCCCUUGCGGAAGGAGAAACACACUGAAAAGGGGCAAAUAAAGUCAAUGUGAUGGACUUGAUUUUACAGUUCACACACAUGCUUUUUUUCACCCGUUUAAAGAUUAAAUAAUCCAGAGGAAAUAUAUAUAUAAUUUGGGUUGGUACUGUUACGAUAAAAGCAAACAUUAACAUCAACAUACAAUGCAGUCAAGUGGAAGUG